UUCAGAAGUCUGUAUUUUAUUUUAUUAUUAGUGUUUUAAAGACAUCUUGCAAAAGGGGGGCCUCGGUCAAAUGUUAAUGCCAUUUGGGGGGCCUUGCCCUGGAAAAGUUUGUGAACCCCUAUGUUAACUGUUAAAAGAAUGCUUGCUUAUCUCUUUAAUUUUCAUUCUGCCACCAUGUGGUUUAGUCAUCAUCAGUGAAAGCUUUUUGUAGUGAUUUGUUCAUUUAGGGGGCUAGUUAGUUAGAUUACUCACAAAAAUGCUACCUGCCUGAUAUUUUCAAGAGUUUUAUGAAUUUUUUCAGGUGUGUGUGAUUCAUGAUGGAGCUAAACUCUGCAGAACAGUGCAGUGUCCCUCAGGACUGGAAUUACCCAUUCCUGGUUUAGAAGCUACUUUUAGUUUCACUGGUCUUUUCCAGUAUAUUGUCUGACAGAUAUAAAUACACUGCAAGUACACAGCAGUCUCUGUGUUUGGUCGAGUACAGCAGAGGAAUCAUGAGCUGGCCUCUUCUUCUUCUGAUAUCCUCUGUGCCCUAUGUGCAUGGCAUCAGUCUGACCUCAUCUCCUGCUGAGGUUAAACCUCCCGGAGCCUCAGUGAAGUUGUCCUGUCAGAUUUCUGGCUAUGCCCUCACUAGCUACGGCACAGGCUGGAUCAGACAGCCUCCAGGAAAAGGCUUGGAGUGGAUCGGGAUCAUAUGGGGUGGUGGAAGCAUAGAUUCUGGAGCCUCCUUUAAAACUCGCUUCAGCAUCUCCAGAGACACGAGCAACAAUGUGCUUUACUUAGAUAUUAGCAGCCUGGUGCCAGAAGACACGGCUGUUUAUUAUUGUGCAAAGACACACAGCUGUACAUCUCAGUGAGAGGGGUGUACAGAAAUGUAUUUAAAAAAAAACAUUUUAACUUAAACGCUCCUUCACCAAACAUAUGCAAAGCAUCUAGAGG